rnacentral:lncRNA from 1 species
CUGUUUAUAAACAUACACCAAUAUGUGAAUGAUAUAAGGGUUUUGCUGACACCAUGAUUCAAAGGCCGGAUGUGGUGGUAGUUAUAAAUAGUGAUGUGUCUAAAUGUGUCACUAAAUAAAUAAAACACACACACACACACACACACAAGCACAAGAUCACUAUCUUGCACUACCCAUCCUCACAAGCACAAGAACAUUAUAUUUUUUUGCACUAUUCACACCAGCAGCACAAGAUCACUUUUCACUUUCCUCCUGGACACCGACACUGUCAAAAUCAUUGCACUCUGUACAAUAGGGUCAGACCCUUUCCUGUAUCUGGAAACACUCUGUGUGAAUAUGUUCUCCCUAUGUGUAUGUAUAUGUGAUUUAUGUAUGUAUGUCGGUGAGGUGUAUAAGUGUAUAUGUGUAUGUGUAUAAGCUACUGGAUGACCUAAAUUUCCCUCGGGAUUAAUAAAGUAUCCAUCUAUCUAUUUAUCUAUCUAUCUAAAUGUGGGGGUGGGGUUAACGAAUCAAGUAGAAUGAGAACUGCUGACUUGGAGACAGGUCUUGCCAACCAAACAUCGUAAGUUAACAGUCCGUGCUACUUUAAGGAAAACCAUAGCAGAAAAAAACGCAUUCAUGGUAACAGACAUAUGUGGUGCAACAACUGUCAGAAGUGAGAGGGCGGUUCCUUCAAACAAAAGCCUGACUGUCAUUAUUGCCCAUCAAACAUACAGUAGCACAGCGACUUAAUCUCCUGGAUUAUUCAGUGAAACCAUGGUGUCAGUUUCCAUCUGUAUACCGUUGCUGUGCUCAGUUAUUUGUGGAUAUGGGAGCUGUGCAGAUGGAACACACGUAAAAGGUGUUGGGUCUGCCUGGGACAAGCCUGGAGAAGCCAAGGCAAGGAGCCAUCAUCCAAGCGAGACUAAAGGCAAGGUUUUCAUGCAGUGCAAGAUAUGUAAAUAUGUCCUGAAGAAACUUAAGCAAUCAUUCGGUUCUGCAGAAAUUACCAAGGAAGAAGUGGAAAAGAAACUGAGAGGAAUCUGUAAGAAAACGCCUGUGUUCAAGGGAACCUGCCAGAAAUAUGUUGACAAAAACAUAGACAAAUUGGCUGACGCUUUUGUAAAAACUCAAGAUACUGAGAAAGCCUGCAUUAGCUUGAAGUUUUGCAAGUAAGUCUCAAUACACAAACAAUAUCAAUGCAUGGAACAUGUUUUUCCACUUUUCUGAAAUUUCAUUGGGACUGCUUUGGGAUCAUCUUGCACAGUACCACAGCUACACAUAUUUUGUACACAGAGAUGGGCAGUAUUUGAAUUAAAUGCAUUUAAAAUACGUAUUUAGUUACCUUUGAAUAUUUUGUAUUAAGCAUUUUGCUGGACAGAAAAUAAUCAUGUAAUUUGUAGGACUACUAGGACUACUAAAGAGUACGCCCUCGUGAUCUGUUUUUUUUUUUAUGACCCAUAACCCAAGGAAAGAAGCUGCUUUGGUGUUCAUGGCCUUAAAAAACAACAAGAAUAUGUUGUUAUAAAAGUAGUUGAAAGCACUUCUCUUUCUCUUUU